UUUUUUGGAAUCAGUACCUUAAGGAGAAUACUAGUGAUUCGUUAUGAUACACAGCCUUGUAAGGAAUUUGUUUUGCUGUAUCUGCGGAAUAAGUUUCCAGAGUUUUCAGAUGUCGAUGAUGGAUAUGAGGUAUGGGCUGAUAAACUGAUCGAGUGUACUAUUGCAUACUAUUCCCAUGAUAUCAUUCACUGGGAAGAUUUGCAAAAAUCACCCUAUAACAGACAUGGUAUUUGGAAACAACGAGAGUGUAUCUGUCAACUGGUCGAACCACAUCUUAGCGAACUGAGUUUAGGACAGUGUGUGUGGUUUACAAAUUUAGGCAAGCGUGAACACAAGACAUUUUCAAAUGGAACUGUGACGUAUGGAAGGACUAUAAUAUUGUGAAAAAACGAAAGGAUUAAUGUAGAUAUUUAUUAUGUUCAUUUAAAAUAGCUUUGUACUCUCUUUUUUUUUAUUAAUCAUGAAAGUUUGGGUUAACAUUAGUCAUUUUUGAUGGGGCCGUAGUUCAGGACAGAUUAUAAUUCAGCGA